rnacentral:rRNA from 1 species
UACGUAGGCAGCAAGCGUUGUUCGGAAUUACUGGGCGUAAAGCGUGCGUAGGCGGUGCCUCAAGUUUGGUGUGAAAUCUCCCGGCUCAACUGGGAGGGUGCGCCGAAAACUGAGGUGCUCGAGUGUGGGAGAGGUAGGCGGAAUUCCUGGUGUAGCGGUGAAAUGCGUAGAUAUCGGGAGGAACACCAGUGGCGAAGGCGACUACCUGGCCUGUUCUUGACGCUGAGGCGCGAAAGCUAGGGGAGCAAACGGG